rnacentral:rRNA from 1 species
AGGGAUAGGGUCGGUUCGGCCGGAUUUCACACAAGUGUUGCAUGGCUGUCGUCAGCUCGUGUCGUGAGAUGUUGGGUUAAGUCCCGCAACGAGCGCAACCCUCAUCCUUAGUUGCUAUCAGGUAAUGCUGAGUACUUUAAGGAAACUGCCAGUGAUAAGCUGGAGGAAGGUGGGGAUGAUGUCAAGUCAUCAUGGCCUUUAUGGAGUGGGCUACACACGUGCUACAAUGGUGUCUACAAUGGGUUGCAAGGUGCGCAAGCCUAAGCUAAUCCCUAAAAGACAUCUCAGUUCGGAUUGUACUCUGCAACUCGAGUACAUGAAGUUGGAAUCGCUAGU